GAAACCUAAUACCACACGCUUCUCCUCUGAUGCCCUCUCUUUCCCUCUCUUCUCCUCUGUGGCUACGUCUGUGCCAACCACUUGCGGCGCUUCCAAACUCUUCUCUCUUGCUUUCCUCCGUCCGAUCAGAGGGUUUCGUCUUAGUCCGGACCUUCAAUCAACCAUAGGUGGAUAAAAGGGGAACUUUGUUAUAGUAUUUGUUGUUUUAUCCAACCGAAAUGCUCGAAGCUGUUUACAGAAACAGCUCAAUCGAGUGGAAGCCAUCCCCUGUUGUAGCUCUAGCCACUAGCGCUGACGACUCCCAGGUCGCUGCCGCCCGUGAGGAUGGCUCACUCGAGAUUUGGCUUGUGUCUCCUGGCUCCGUUGGUUGGCACUGUCAGCUGACUAUACAAGGAGACAGUAAUUCGAGAGUUUCAUCACUGGUUUGGUGUCGAGUUGGCUCAAAAGGAAUGCCAUGUGGCAGGUUGUUCUCAUCAAGUAUUGACGGUUCAGUUUCAGAGUGGGAUCUUUUUCAUUUGAAGCAGAAGACUGUCCUAGAGUCGAUUGCAGUCUCAAUUUGGCAGAUGGCAGUGGAGCCUUCUAGUAAUCCGCCAAUUGAAAAAGAUCUUGAUUCCAAGAACCUUGGAAAUGGAUAUUUAAAUGAUAAACAGAAUAACAUUGAUGAUUGUCAAUCCAGUGAAAGUGAAGAUGAUUCAGACUCGGAUGAACUUCAUGAGCAAUCUGUUGUUGAGAAUCCACGUAUAGCGAUUGCUUGUGAUGAUGGCUGCGUGCGGAUAUACACUAUUCCCGACUCAAAUGAGUUAAUAUAUAACAAAACGUUGCCAAGGGUCAGUGGGCGAGUUUUAAGUGUGACGUGGAGUUCUGAUGCAAGUAAGAUGUAUUCAGGGAGUAGUGAUGGAUUUAUAAGGUGCUGGGAUGCUAAAGUGGGUCAUGAGAUAUACAGGAUUACAGUUGGGCUUGGUGGUUUGGGUAGUGGACCUGAACUUUGUGUAUGGUAUUUACUUGCCCUGAGAUGUGGGACGCUUGUUAGUGCAGACAGUACUGGUAGUGUGCAGUUUUGGGACUCUCAGCAUGGGACACUGUUGCAGGCACAUUCUUCUCACAAGGGUGAUGUGAAUGCUCUGGCAGCUGCACCUAGUCAUAAUAGGGUGUUCUCAGCUGGAUCUGAUGGUCAGGUUAUUCUUUAUAAGCUUUCUAGUGAGAUGGUUGGAUCUAGUGAAGAUGUGUCUGCUAAAGUGAUGAAGAAAUGGGUAUAUGUGGGUUAUGUAAGAGCUCACACUCAUGAUGUUAGGGCACUGACAGUGGCAGUACCAAUAAGUCGGGAAGAUCCAUUGCCUGAUGAAAAGGUAAAAAGAAUUCGUAGUAGAAAGAGGCCUGUUGAUUUUAGUUAUCGUAAGUGGGCCCAUCUGGGAGUUCCCAUGCUUAUCUCUGCUGGUGAUGACACGAAGCUCUUUGCCUAUUCUGCCAAGGAAUUCACUAAGUUCUCUCCACAUGAUAUCUGCCCUGCACCACAGAGAGUGCCUAUUCAGUUAGUUCUUAAUACUGUAUUCAACCGGAAUUCUUUGCUUCUAGUUCAAGGAUCUUAUUGGCUAGAUAUUCUCUGUGUUCGUGUGAAAAGUGGAUUCAUGCCAGAUAGUGGUCCUGGCCCUUCUAGAGGUCAUGCAGAUACAGAUUUGCUAGCUCGAAUUAAAACUAAAGCAUCUCGGAAGAUCAUAUGCAGCAGCAUUUCUAAUACGGGAACACUGUUUGCAUAUUCAGACCAUGUUAAACCCAAUCUUUUUGAAUUGAAGAAACAUAGUGGCAAAACUGCAUGGACUGUUAACAAAAAGCAACUUCCUCAGAAAUUACCAUAUGCGCAUUCCAUGGUAUUUAGUUCUGAUUCUUCAAGGUUGAUGAUAGCGGGGCAUGAUAGAAGAAUAUAUGUUGUGGAUGUGGGCAGCUCAGAACUAAUGCAUACCUUCACCCCUCAGCGUGAAGAAUGUGAUGAGGAAUUACCACCCACUGAGCCUCCUAUAACUAAAUUGUUCACCAGUGGUGAUGGGCAGUGGUUAGCUGCUGUCAAUUGCUUUGGAGAUGUAUAUAUAUUUAAUCUGGAGACACAAAGGCAACAUUGGUUUAUGUCAAGAUUGGAUGGUGCCUCUGUUACAGCCGGCGGUUUUCCUCCUCAAAAUAACAAUGUGCUUGUAAUCACCACCUCUUCAAACCAGGUUUAUGCAUUUGAUGUGGAGGCAAAACAAUUGGGAGAAUGGUCCAUGCGGCAUACAUUUGUUCUGCCCAAGAGAUACCAAGAAUUUCCUGGGGAGGUUAUAGGGCUUUCAUUCUUACCUUUAUCAAGUCCACCUUCUGUCAUCAUUUAUAGUGCCAGGGCAAUGUGCUUGAUUAACUUUGGGAUUCCAGUGGAUCGAGAGGAGGACAAUAAAUUGGUAAACAAUCAGCAUUCUCCGUUGAAGAAGUUACAAAAUGCUCUUAUUAAUGGGAGAUUGAAACGUAGGUUGAAAGAGUAUCAAACAGAGGCUAAACAUCAAAAAAAUUUUGAAUUUCUUGCUUUCAGAGAUCCUGUUUUGUUUAUUGGAAACCUUUCUGAAAAUUCUAUUGUGAUCAUAGACAAACCAUGGAUGGAUGUGGUUAAAACUUUCGAUGCCCCUCCUGUACACAGACAUAUAUAUGGGACAUAACUGCUAUGUGGAAGGUAGUUUACAGCCUCAGAUGGGAGAAUGCAGAAGUGGCAAUUGAUCCCAAAAUUUUGAUAUUAUAUUAAAGUUUUUCCAUACUGGAUGUGAUUGGGGGAAUUUUGGGGGUGAGGGGAUCCAAGGCAUGUUGUCAAUUGUAUUCCUAAAAUAAUUUGUGACCUGUUAAAGUAGCGUUUUCGUCUUUUACCAUAUUUUUCUUUUAACCAUUUUCAUCUUCAUGUGUUUGAUCUGUAAGUGCAUAAAUUUAGUCAAGCAGUAAAAUCUUUGUUCUUCUAUCAGUUUUUUUUCCACCAUUUAAUUUUAUUUGUUAUCACAAUAUUUAUAGAAAGUCUAUGGAGGCAACACUGCUGAAGAUCUUUUCCUGAAAUGAAAUGUUGUCUAAUGUCUGUCAGAACUACAUGAGUGGUUGGUUGGUCAAUGUUUUAAAUU
rnacentral:misc_RNA from 1 species